UACGUAGGGUGCGAGCGUUAAUCGGAAUUACUGGGCGUAAAGCGUGCGCAGGCGGCUUUGCAAGACAGAUGUGAAAUCCCCGGGCUUAACCUGGGAACUGCAUUUGUGACUGCAUGGCUGGAGUGCGGCAGAGGGGGAUGGAAUUCCGCGUGUAGCAGUGAAAUGCGUAGAUAUGUGGAGGAACACCGAUGGCGAAGGCAGCCCCCUGGGUCGACACUGACGCUCAUGCACAAAAGCGUGGGGAGCAAACAGG
rnacentral:rRNA from 1 species